rnacentral:snRNA from 1 species
CAGUGUGAGGGCGAUCUGGCUGUGACAUCUGUCACCACAUUGAUCGUCAGGUAUGAUUUGGCUGAUUUGGCUGGCUAGGCGGGUGUCCCCUUCCUCCCUCAUUGCUCCAUGUGUGUCCCUCCCAAAGCUGCACACUCGGUGGAAGAGGAUGACAUCCCAGGUAUAGAAGAAGUGUACCGAGGUCUCCAGUCUUCGGUCCCGGGUAUAUGAUAGCUGCGCUCCCCUGCUAGAACCUCCAAACAACCUCCAAACCAAAAAAUAAUAAUAAUUAAAAAAUCAAUUUUUAAAAAGGUCUGGGGUUCUCGGGGAUUUCAGUAGCUACAUUGAAGAGUCCCU